rnacentral:rRNA from 1 species
AUACGGAGGGUGCAAGCGUUAAUCGGAAUUACUGGGCGUAAAGCGCGCGUAGGCGGAUUAGUAAGUCGGGUGUGAAAGCCCUGGGCUUAACCUGGGAAUUGCAUUCGAAACUGCUUGACUAGAGUAUGGUAGAGGGAAGUGGAAUUUCCGGUGUAGCGGUGAAAUGCGUAGAUAUCGGAAGGAACACCAGUGGCGAAGGCGACUUCCUGGGCCAAUACUGACGCUGAGGUGCGAAAGCGUGGGGAGCAAACAGGAUUAGAAACCCUAGUAGUCC